rnacentral:rRNA from 1 species
GACAGAGGAGGCAAGCGUUGUUCGGAAUCACUGGGCUUGAAGCGGGUGUAGGCGGCUCGGUAAGUGUCCUGUGAAAGCCCACGGCUCAACCGUGGAAUUGCAGGGCAAACUGCCAGGCUUGAGGUCGGUAGAGGUGCCUGGAACUCUAGGUGGAGCGGUGAAAUGCGUAGAUAUCUAGAGGACCGCCGGAGGCGAAAGCGGGGCACUGGGCCGAUUCUGACGCUGAGACCCGAAAGCGUGGGGAGCAAACAGG